AGAACACAACAACAUCAUAAACAUGUUCCCAUAUAAUCAUAAAACAUGAAAGCAUAUGAACAUGUAACACAUAAAUACAAAUGUGUUAUUAAUUAUGUGUUGUCAUCAUCAAAAACUAAAAACUCUGAGAUUGUGGGUUCAACUAAACUAGUGCUCCCCCUAACAACAAUCUCAAUAAUCUUCAUUCCAUUCCAUUGUACACCUAGUUUCUUCAUGACGAUUGAGAACUAAUCUCAUU
rnacentral:lncRNA from 1 species